GGAAUGAUUCAGAGAUGGGUCUCAAAGAGGAUAAUACUGCAGAGUUAAUUGGACAAGGGGGUUUCUUAUAAGCAUAAUGAGUAAUGGCUGAGGAGGAACCUCAUGAGGAUGCAGUGAAGUAUGUAGCUAAUUCAUAAUUUCGAUGUUGCUUGUCAGAUAAUUGGAGCUGAAGAUCUGGCAUCAUGUUCUAGAGGAGCUCAUGGAAACAAACAGUUGUGCAAUGAAACUAAGGGGUGAUGAUCCCACUGCCAUGAAAGAUUUUGUCCUCGACAUUCAGAACAGAGUGAAUGAGUUAAAGAAUUCUUGUCUCAUGCAAGAUGCAAAAUCAAAGAUCAAUAGUAAAAGAAUGCAGUAUAUGCUUGAGGCAAUAUGUUAUAUCACGAAUAAUAAAAAAAAAGGCCCAGGGUGGAUUCUGCCCAGCAUACACGUACAAAGAAAGGGCUGCAAAAGUUGAGAGUAGAGGAUAUUCUACGCUUCAUGGGCUCAAAUGGUGCAAUCUGCUUGAUCCUGAAAAGAAAGGCCAAUGGUGGUCCGAAGCAGAUAACGUCGAAGAUGUGGCAGCCACGAUUAGCAAAGAGAUAUUGGAGACACAAAAAUUGGUGCAACUUGUGGCUGCUUAGAGGAUGAACACUUGACAUAAGGAGAGCAAUAUUUUGCAUAAUCAUGUGUGUUGAAGACUAUCUUAAUGCUUUUGGGAAGAUCCUGCACCUAGAUUUGUCUGGGAAACAGGAUAGAGUAAUCAUGCGGGUCCUUGUUGACUGCUUCUUGCAGGAGAAAUUGUUCAACAAAUAUUAUACUGUGUUGGCUUUGAAGCUUUGCAGCCAUGACAAGAAUCACAAGUCCUCCCUGCAGGUUUGCAGACUUGUAAGCUUUAUUUACCAUCCAAUCUUUUUUCCUGCUGUAGCUGAUGCUGAUUCUAAAUGUCUUAGAUGUUUGGUCAUCAUGGGCAAGACCGUAUGCCAUUGUAUGUUGAUUGAUGAACAAUACUUUCUUUAUCUAUUCCUAUUGCUUGAGAUUUGAAGAUUGUUUUCCAGUGGUUACUGUCUUCCAUGUUAAGACAUUGAAGGCUGGCAUCCAUCUAAGAAGGGCCAUGGUCCUCUAAUGCUGGUGAAACAAUAAUCAAUGCAAUUGCCCAUUCAUUGCCAGCCAUCUCAGAUCGGAUACGGGGACAAGUUCCAUUUAAAAUUACAUCCCUAAAGUUGAGGAGGUUAAAUUAUUUGAUUGUAGAAUGUAAUGGUUUAUUAUUCAUCUAACAAUAUCAUGUUAUAUGUAUAUACAUGCCAAAUUUAUAGAUAUUGAUAUGAAUGUUAUGUAUUGGACUUCCAAAUGCAAGGAGUGAUUAAGCAUUAUAAGAUAGAAGAAAAUCCGAGAUGGCUAGCAAUGAUUGGAAAAUGCCUAAAGGCUAAAGCCUACCCAAUUGGUGUUGGUACAUACAGAUGUAUGGGAUAUUCUACGGUUGCUACUUUUGGAGGCUUCAAUUACUAUAUCAUUGAUUACUCAAAUAGGAAGGUAUUGAUCUAUUUUGUCAAACAUAAGCCUAAAGUUAUUCUGCUUUAAUUACUUGGAAGGCUAUGGUUGAGAGAGACAAGUUUAAAAUUAAAGAGUUUGUGAUAAGGUAAUAGUGGGGAUACAUACUCGAGGCGUUUAAGCCGAA